ensembl:snRNA U2 U2 spliceosomal RNA
AUUGCUUUUUGGCCUUUUGACUAAGAUCAAGUGUAGCAUCUAUUCUUAUCAGUUUAAAUUAAGCCAACUAAACACAAACCCUGAAUGAUGCUUAGAGUUUGGAUAGUCUUUGUCAGUAUCAUUUCUUUAUAUAAGUGUAA